rnacentral:rRNA from 1 species
UACGGAGGGAGCUAGCGUUGUUCGGAAUUACUGGGCGUAAAGCGCGCGUAGGCGGCUUUGUAAGUUAGAGGUGAAAGCCCGGGGCUCAACCCCGGAACAGCCUUUAAGACUGCAUCGCUAGAAUCCGGGAGAGGUGAGUGGAAUUCCGAGUGUAGAGGUGAAAUUCGUAGAUAUUCGGAAGAACACCAGCGGCGAAGGCGGCUCACUGGACCGGUAUUGACGCUGAGGUGCGAAAGCGUGGGGAGCAAACAGG